rnacentral:rRNA from 1 species
CCUACGGGAGGCAGCAGUGGGGAAUAUUGGACAAUGGGGGCAACCCUGAUCCAGCAAUGCCGCGUGUGUGAUGAAGGCCUUAGGGUUGUAAAGCACUUUCACUGGUGAAGAUGAUGACGGUAACCAGAGAAGAAGCCCCGGCUAACUUCNUGCCAGCAGCCGCGGUAAUACUAAGGGGGCGAGCGUUGUUCGGAAUUACUGGGCGUAAAGGGCGCGUANGCGGUCUUUUAAGUUAGGCGUGAAAUCCCCGGGCUCAACCUGGNAACUGCGCUUANGACUGGAAGACUANAAAACGGAAGAGGGUAGUGGAAUUCCCAGUGUANAGGUGAAAUUCNUAUAUAUUGGGAAGAACACCAGUGGCGAAAGCGGCUACCUGGUCCGAUUUUGACGCUGANGCGCNNAAGCGUGGGGAGCAAACAGGAUUANAUACCCUGGUAGUCCACGCCGUAAACGAUGUCUGCUAGAUGUCGGGGGGUUGCCCCUCGGUGUCNCCGCUAACGCAUUANNCANACCGCCUGGGAAGUACGGUCGCAAGAUUAAAACUCAAAGGAAUUGACGG